UACGUAGGGUGCGAGCGUUAAUCGGAAUUACUGGGCGUAAAGCGUGCGCAGGCGGUGAGCUGUGUCCGAUGUGAAAGCCCCGGGCUUAACCUGGGAAUGGCAUUGGAAACUGGCUCGCUGGAGUGUGGCAGAGGGGGGUGGAAUUCCGCGUGUAGCAGUGAAAUGCGUAGAGAUGUGGAGGAACACCGAUGGCGAAGGCAGCCUUCUGGGCCAACACUGACGCUCAUGCACGAAAGCGUGGGGAGCAAACAGG
rnacentral:rRNA from 1 species